rnacentral:rRNA from 1 species
UACGUAGGGGGCAAGCGUUUGUCCGGAUUUAUUGGGCGUAAAGAGCUCGUAGGCGGCUCGGUAAGUCGGAUGUGAAACCUCCAGGCUCAACCUGGAGACGCCAUCUGAUACUGCCGUGCUUGAGGCCGGUAGAGGAGCAGGGAAUUCCUGGUGUAGCGGUGAAAUGCGCAGAUAUCGUAAGGAAGACCAGUGGCGAAGGCGGGUCUCUGGACAGUUCCUGACGCUGAGGCACGAAGGUCAGGGGAGCAAACGGG